rnacentral:rRNA from 1 species
UGAACGCUGGCGGCAUGCUUUACACAUGCAAGUCGAACGGCAGCACGAAAGAGCUUGCUCUUUUGGUGGCGAGUGGCGAACGGGUGAGUAAUACAUUGGAACGUACCGAGUAAUGGGGGAUAACUGUCCGAAAGGAUGGCUAAUACCGCAUACGCUCUGAGGAGGAAAGCGGGGGACCUUCGGGCCUCGCGUUAUUCGAGCGGCCAAUGUCUGAUUAGCUAGUUGGUGGGGUAAAGGCCUACCAAGGCGACGAUCAGUAGUGGGUCUGAGAGGAUGAUCCGCCACACUGGGACUGAGACACGGCCCAGACUCCUACGGGAGGCAGCAGUGGGGAAUUUUGGACAAUGGGCGAAAGCCUGAUCCAGCCAUGCCGCGUGUCUGAAGAAGGCCU